rnacentral:rRNA from 1 species
GACGAACCGAGCGAACGUUGUUCGGAAUCACUGGGCUUAAAGGGUGCGUAGGCGGGCUGCCAAGUUUGGGGUGAAAUCCUCCGGCUCAACCGGGGAAGUGCCUCGAAUACUGGCGGUCUGGAGGGAGGUAGGGGCGUGCGGAACUAACGGUGGAGCGGUGAAAUGCGUUGAUAUCGUUAGGAACUCCGGUGGCGAAGGCGGCACGCUAGACCUUUUCUGACGCUGAGGCACGAAAGCCAGGGGAGCGAACGGG